AAGAAAGAACGCGAGAACUGCUAAUUCACGCUUCCAUGUAUAAACACACGGCUUUCUU
rnacentral:tRNA from 1 species